rnacentral:rRNA from 1 species
AUCCUGGCUCAGAACGAACGCUGGCGGCAGGCUUAACACAUGCAAGUCGAGCGCCCCGCAAGGGGAGCGGCAGACGGGUGAGUAACGCGUGGGAAUCUACCCUUUUCUACCGGAAUAACGCAUGGAAACGUGUGCUAAUACCGUAUGAGCCCUUCGGGGGAAAGAUUUAUCGGGAAAGGAUGAGCCCGCGUUGGAUUAGCUAGUUGGUGGGGUAAAGGCCUACCAAGGCGACGAUCCAUAGCUGGUCUGAGAGGAUGAUCAGCCACAUUGGGACUGAGACACGGCCCAAACUCCUACGGGAGGCAGCAGUGGGGAAUAUUGGACAAUGGGCGUCAAGCCUGAUACCAGCCAUGCCGCGUGAGUGAUGAAGGCCCUAGGGUUGUAAAGCUCUUUCACCGGUGAAGAUAAUGACGGUAACCGGAGAAGAAGC